ACCCUAAUUUUUACCCUCUGAGCCGUUCCUCAAACUUGACUCCCCAUCAAUCCCCAUCAAACCCUUCCUCUCUUCUCUAUUGUUACAUCUGAUUCUUCCAAAUUCAAUUUCAAAAGCCACUUUUCAAAUCCUUCAUCUCUUAUUGUUCUAUGUAAAUGGAUUUACACGUUCUGAGAUUAGGAAAUCGACCAUUUUUCAUCUUUUUCUGUUCGAACUAUCAACAAGUUCAGGAUCUAUUAUUAUUUAUAUUUUUUUAUCAAUUAAAGUUUAUAUCCAUCUAACUUUUUUCUAUUGUUUUAUUAUCGUAGAUCUGGUAUUUCAACAAAAAGAGUUGAUGUUUAUGCGAAUUUUGAUUAAUUUCGUAGCGUAUUUUAGGAGGUUCAGUUUAAGGCAAAACUUUGGGUUUUAUUUCUAGGUUUUUUAAGGAGCCAGGAGAUUUCUUGGUUUUCAUUCUUACUUUAUGCAUUGAAAAAUUAUAAAGUUUUUGUUUGUUGAUUAGUUUAGUUUUAGAGACUGAUUAAAUUUGUAAAAUAAUUUAUUGAAUAUUAAUGAAUGUAAUUAACCAUAUUUUUCAUUUAUGUAAUUAGAAAUUCUCUUAUUUAGAA